ensembl:lncRNA
CCCAGUGCUCUUCAACAUCUUUAUCAAUGACCUGGAUAGUAGGAUUGGGUGUACCCUCAGCAAAUUUGCUGAUGACACUGAGUAGUGCAGUUAAUGCAAUAGGAGGACAGGAUGCCAUCAAGAAGGACUUGGAAAAGCUUGAAAAGUGGGCCUGUGAGAACCUAAUGAGAUUCCUAAAGGCCAAGUGUAUGGUAUAGCACUUGAGUUGGGUAAAUCCCAGCUAUGUGAACAGACCUGGAAAAAUAAUUCAUUGAGAGCAGCCAUGUGGAGGACUUGGUGGUUCUGGUGGAUGAAAAGCCUUAUGCAAGGUAGCAGGGAGCACCUGAAGCCCAGAAGGCAAACUGCAUCCUGGGCUGCAACAAAACAGGAGUGGCAGCAGGGCGAGAGGGAGGAUUGCCCCCCCUGCAGGCCUAUCUAGGCUUGGGCCCCCUCCACAGGAAAGACGUGCAGCAGUUGGAGCAGGUCCAGAGGAGGGCGGUGAAGAUGGUCAGCGGGCUGGAGCAGUUCUCCUACGAAGAGAAGUUGAAGGAGUUGGACCUGUUCAGCCUGGAGAAGAGCGCGAUACACGUUGGCGUCUCCCUGCUUCGUCUCAGUGGCUGACGCAAAUUUGCAAGGCCUGGAAGAUGGGAAGAAAGGAGUCACUGCUGAGAUCCCAAAGCCACGAGCUGUUACUCCAAAAAGAGCUGAUUUCACCACUUUGGACUUUUAUACUGUCAUUGUUUGUAGGCAUCAACUGAACAACACCACCUCCAACGACCAACCACUACUGAAGAUGCG